UACGUAGGGUGCAAGCGUUAAUCGGAAUUACUGGGCGUAAAGCGUGCGCAGGCGGUUCGGGAAGAAAGAUGUGAAAUCCCAGGGCUUAACCUUGGAACUGCAUUUUUAACUGCCGGGCUAGAGUAUGUCAGAGGGGGGUAGAAUUCCACGUGUAGCAGUGAAAUGCGUAGAGAUGUGGAGGAAUACCGAUGGCGAAGGCAGCCCCCUGGGAUGAUACUGACGCUCAUGCACGAAAGCGUGGGGAGCAAACAGG
rnacentral:rRNA from 1 species